AAGCCAGUUAUUUGCUGCACUGACCCGAAGUAGGCGGGUUGUUGCAUGUGGAUGGUGGCAGGAUGGAUGUGGGAUGGACGAGUUCACUGAGAAGCCUCCGAGGGCUGUGGCUGCUGGGAUGGCAGGGGAGUGUCCCUUGUUUCCCCUGGACAUGCAGUGAGGCACAGGGAGAAUCGAUGCACGGGGAGAAUCGAUCCACGAUAGGACCAGCCCCACCCCUCCUUCCCCCUAGGAGGUGGGAUGGCAGACAGAGACACUUACAGACCAUCUGUCCCAAUAGUCCAUAGAAGCCUUCUGGAGUCACAAAUUUGCUGGAGGGAGAAAUGUUUUCCUACUUCACAAAUCUAAUACCAUGUGGACUUUAAAG
rnacentral:lncRNA from 1 species